CCAUCUCUCUCCGUCUCCCCCACCGCCCUCACCACGCCAUGCAUCUCCAUCUCCCAUACUCCCACCAACGAAUGUAACGACGCGACAAAUCCCACCAGGUCACUACCACCACCACCAUGCCCCCGUCGUAUCCGAUUGAGCCAUGCGUGGCGGUGCUGACAAUAGGCGUGACACUUCCAGCAGCCACCGUCACUACCAUCCUCUCUCGCUCACCCUUGCCCCAUCCAAUCCUCUCCUUGCCUUAUCUUGUCUCGUUGGCAGCUUGGGCACGCACACUAGGUGUUCAACAGGAGUCCUCGCCGGCGCGGAAGAUGUACGUGGUCAAGCGGGACGAACGCCGGGAGACGGUGCAAUUCGACGAGAUCACGGUGCGCCUUAAGAAGCUCAGCUACGGCCUCAGUCAGGACCACUUCAACCUAAUGCUCGUCAUGCAAAAGGUCUGCACGUGGGUCUAUAAGGGCGCCACCAGCAGCCAACUCAAUGAGCUUGUCGCGACUACGCCUCGCUAGUGGCGAGGUUUAUUGUGUCGAUCCUGCACAAGAACACAAAGAAGUCCUUCUCGAAGACGUAAGUAACGUCUGGCUUUGGUUCAAUUUCAUUCAUUCAUAGUGGCAUGGAUUUGUUGGAUUAGGUUAUGAGUUGGGUGUGACUGUUAUGGACGCAAGAUAAAGGAAAUCUACAUGUACUUCAAUGAGACUUUUACGAUAUCUAAGAUGAUGGCCCCUCUAGUUGCUGAAGAUGUUUGUGAACUCAUCAUGAGGGUGAGAUUCUUGUUUGCCUUGCCACUUUUCUGAGAGGCCUCCUAUGUAAAUAGCUAGUCUCUCUCUCUCUUUACCGACCCUCCCUCUCCCUCUCCUCUCUCUAUAAAAGCUGGUCUCUGCCGUGCCGGAGCUCCUGGCUCACCCAAGCUCGCUCUCUCCCUCUUUUCCUCUCUCUCUCUCUCUCCUCGCUCGUCAUCGAGCCACCCGACGCCGUCGCCGGAGUUCGGCCGCGCCCGCGCCCUCCUCUCGGCCAUGCCCGUGCCCCUGCUCCCCAGACAGUACGCGCCUGUGCCUCGCCGUCGGCCGCUCCCUGCUCGACGUCGUUCCUCCUCUCCCUUCGUUCGUCAAUGAACUGCUCGAACGCAAGAACCGGAGGUUGAAGACAACUCAAAUUUUAUUUAAUUUUUUAAAAUCAUGUUUUAUGUAACUAUUUGUUUUAAUUUGUGUGUAUUGUGAUGUGUAUGUAAACGAUUGAUUUUAAGUGUAUGCGAUGAACUAGUAUC